rnacentral:lncRNA from 1 species
GGGCCACACCCUCAGCAUAUGGAGGUUCCCAAGCUAGGGGUCUAAUUGGAGCUGUAGCCGCCAGUCUCUGCCAGAGCCACAGCUAUGCCAAAUCCAAGCCACAUCUGUGACCUACACCACAGCUCAUGGGAACGCCAGAUCCUUAACUCACUGAGCGAGGCCAGGUAUUGAACCCACAACUUCAUGGUUCCUAGUCGGAUUUGUUCCCACUGUCCACAACGGGGACUCCUACAGUCUUUAUUUAUGACUGAAAAUAUCAUAUUUACAAUUGGGAAAUACUUAUCAUUUUCACCUAAAAGAUUUGGAAAAUUUAUAGUAAGAUUGGCUUGCUCUUUGAUGGUAAUCUGUUUCUAUUUCGCUACUGGUUUUCUUAAUUUGCUUAUUGAGUUCAUUAAGACUGGCCAUUGUAGAAAACAAACAUGAACACAUUUCUUACAUUUAUUUAUUUACUAAUUUAUAUUUUGUUGUUACUAUGGUUUAGAAGUCAGUUGAUAUCAAACAUACUACUUUAGUUAAGCCAGGAUGACAGCUAGAAAAUUUCCAGAUUGCCUUUUUAUAUUAAAUUGAGUCCUGAAGACUUGAGAUAACACAUGUAUAACUACUAGUAGUUACAGCUCUGUUAAAUAAUAAUGUAAGAAUUUAUUUGUAGGUACUCAGAAUGAGGUGAAGAUUAUAAAAUAUGUGUAUAUCCAUUAUGACAUUUUCCAAAUAAAUCUAUUUUUGGAUUUAUUCCAUUUAUAUUUUUACGGGGUAAAUAUCAUGGAAAUUUGGCACAUAUAUUCUGAGUCACAGCAAAUUUGACUUUCAUUCAGCAAAUAUUUAGGAUGUUUUUUCUGUCAUGUCAGGUACUAUGCUUUGUACUAGGGAAUAAACAUUGAAAGGGACUCUGUUCUUGCCUGAAAGCAGUGCACAGUCUAGUGGCAGGGACAUCCAAGUUGUGUGUCUAUAAUGAGAAUACACAAUGUGUAUUCUCAUUUUAAACUUAGUAACUUAAAAAAAAGGUAAUCAGUCCUCUAAAAUAGCUAUAUCUUUAGAAGUUUGAAAUUAUAAAUGCAUUGUAGUUUAAUUGGGCUUUUAAUAUUGUUUGAUAUUUUCAGGUUUUAAAAAAUUAUUAUAAUUUUGGAAAAACAGUUAAGAUGCUUUAAAAGUAUAUAAAGCAACUGUCACCAACGCAUGCAAAAUAAAACUCUUUUACAACUUCUGCUUGAAAUAAUAUGUGUAAGGAUUUUCUUCAAAGACUCAAAAUUUGUAAUCUUUAUGAUUCUGAAUGCUAUUGAUAAUUUAUUUGUAAAUACAAUGGAUACUUGAUUGUUGUAUAUUUCCUGUUUAUUUAUUUUGACAUUUAAUUUUUAUAGAUUUCUAGGAAAGUUAAAUAGCUCAUUGACAUCCAUAUUUUCUUUGACUUUUUGCUUUUAAUUUAGGUUAUUUUGCAUAAACAACAUAAAGUUCUAAAUGUAAAAUCAAAAUUUUUCAGUAUUUUCCUGAGUUUUUUGUCCAGAUACCUUUAUCCAAAUAGUGAUUAUAAAAGAAAUUUCUUUUGGUUUUUCUAAGUUUUUUAUAGUUUUGGCUAUUGCAUUUUGUUUUUCAUCCAAUAUUUAUUUUUAUAUCUGACAUAUAUGAGGGUUCUAACUUUUUCUUUCCUUUUUCAAAUAUUUUCUAAUUAUCCUAAUGCCAUUUUAAAAGUACACUUUUCUCCGCUGCCUUAAGAUGUAAUUUUUCUACCAUAUGUUUAAUUCCCAUAUAAUUUAUUACUUUAUUAUUAUUUUCAUUAUGGUGUUUGCUAAGUGUAGGAUGGGAGAAAACUUAUUCAGUAUCUUUCUGUGUGCUGAUAGUUUGAGACAGUAAACUCUAGGGUAAUUUAAGUGGAAUUAAUUUUAGAGUAACUGCUGAGCCUAUGACGGGAACUGUUUCCCUUCUGAAGAAUUAGAGCUCACUUACUGCUGAUAUCUCUUAUGUCAUCUUUUGUACUACAGAAUAAGUUAUUUAUUAUAGAAAAUGAACAUAUUCUCUGCAUAGUUCUUACUAAUGCCAACACACACACACACACACUGAUGUACAGCAGCAAAUAGCCAGUCCAUGACAUGUCCUUGUAGAUUUUCUAGGUGGAAAUAAAACACUGUUAGAUACUCUAGUUGGCUAUCUCCUGUGGAUAAUCAAAGCACUCCAGGCAAAUUAGGGACAUAAUGCUUUCAAUGACAUAUUCUUCAACUAAUGCCUUUGCUUAGCUUGUAUUAAAAAAAAAAAGAUAUAUUUUAGACAAAGUUGUAAAGUGGACAUUUGUCAAUGCCUAGCUUUUUUCUUCUGGCUUUCUCCUAAACCUAUAUCCUAAUUGUUCUUUAUGUCUAAAGAAUCCUAAAUUUAGUGUUAUGUGCAUAUGGUCAUAAAUCUCACCAUGAAAACACAUUCAUUGACAUGAAGACAUUUCUAACCAAAAGCAUAAGUAAUUUCAGCUCAGUGCUAGAAGGGGAACAUGGAAUGCUCCUGACUAUCUCCAAACAUGAAGAUUAUGGACACAUAGUGCCACGUACACCUCUUUUUAUGGAGGUUGUAUUUCUGUCAGUUCAUCUUUAAAAAUACUACCUUUUCGGGAGGUUUCUUGGGUUUGUCAUUAAAGAGACUCCUGUUUUUCUUUCACAUGAAAUGUUGACACAUUCUCAGUUUUGAAACUUUGAGGAUAAUUUUAGGGACGUCUGAGAUGUUACAUGUAUCUGUUUAAAAUUUUCAUUUGCUCCACAACAAGAAAAUAAAUAUUUAUUGAAAUUAACUAUAUGCAAAGCACAGUUUUUUCAGCAUCAUUGGGGACAGAUACAAAAGUGAUUUAGAGACAGAGCCUGCCCAUAAGAACCCACACUGUAAAAAUGAAGAUGUAUCUUGAGUAAAAGAUACAUAGCUAAAAUAUGUGUUAAAAUGUGCUGAUAUCAUAGUAAAAUUACUAUUUCAUUUUAUUGACAUAAAAAAAUGGAGAAAUCCCUGGCCCAGCACAGUGGUUUGAGGAUCCAGCAUUGCUGCAGCUGUGGCUUAGGUUACAGCUGCAGCUUGAAUUUGAUCCCUGGCUUUGGAACUUCCAUAUGUCAUGGGUACAGCUGAAAAGGAAAAAUAAAAUGAAGAGCUGCUUCUGAUUGCUGGUUCCACAUGUAAGGAACUUUGAAAUCACCCCUCCAUCCUAACAAUUAAACAGCUGAAAUGACUGAAAAGUUAAUAGCUGUUCUAGGAUCUAUAGUAGAAAUGAGGACAUAAGGCCAACUGCUACCCCUAAGGUUGGAAAGAUAGGUGAACACAGGGAAUCACUGGAAACACCAUGGGAACCAGUGCCAGGGAAGGAAAACAUACUGAUGUAUUGACACUCAGUGUGGACAAGUCAGAGAGUUAGAAAUUCCACAAGGACCUUGUCAUUGGUGGGCAUGGGGAGGAAGACACAAUUUUGUGAGAUUUUUUUCCCCCAAGAACUCAAUCAGGUGCUCACAGUAAAUUAAAAAAUAACCCCCACUCCAUGCUCCCUGAAGGAGGGAAGGGGGAAGGUAGAAUUUUGAAAUACACCAGGUCUAUGAUCUUAACAAGGUCUGCCCUCAGAAAAAAGUAGUUAAAUGACCUGGAGGGAAGGAAAUACCCAACUCCAGUCAGCUCUAGCCUUACAUGUGAUAGAAGGGAAAUACACAACUCCAGCUAGUAUAACCAUCUUGUUCUAUCAAAGAGGGGAGGGGAAAAAAGAAAAACUGAAAAAACACUUGUGAAGUUCCCAGUCCAGAGGGAAAGGCUCACUAAAAGAGGGAUGUAAUCAUAGGAGUAUAGAACACUUCCCAUUCCCCCACAUCUCACCACUAUAUUACUAAAAGCCCUAAAUAGAGGGCCCUAAAUGUAAAUACAGCAUUCCUUUUAUCCCUUGUAUCAUGCCUAGCUCUCAGGAAAAAAUUACAAGACAUGCCAAGAGGGGAAAAAUACAACUGUGAGAAACAAACAUCAGAAAUAGACUGGCAGGGAUGUUGAUAUUAUCAGACUGGGGAUUUAAAAUAACCGUGAUUAUGGAGCUCCCACUGUGUUGCAACAGGAUCAGAGGUGUCUUUGGAGUGCUGGGAUAUAGGUUCAAUCCCUGGGCCAGAAUAGUUGGUUAAGGAUCCGACAUUGCUGCAGCUGCAGCUUAGGUCAUGACUGUGGCUCAGAUUGAUCCCUGGGCCAGGAGCCCCAUAUGCUGCAGGGUGACCAAAAAUGAAAAAAACAACAAAAAACCAACAAUCAUGAUUAAUAUGCUAAGAACUCCAAUAGAUUAAGUAUACAGCAUGCAAAGAUAUGUAGAUAACAUAUCAAAGUUAUGGAAAUUCUAAGAAAGAACUAAAAGGAAAUGCUAAAGAUCAAAAAACAUUGUGAUAGAAAUGAAGAAUGCCUUUGAAGAGCUUAUUGGUAGACUAGACACAGCUGAAGAAUUGCUGAGGCUGUCUCAAUAGAAACAUUCAAGACUAAAAAGCAAAUAGAACAGAGAAUGAAAAAAACAACAGAAUAUCCAAGAAUUAUGGGGCAAAUAUAAAAGUGUAACGUAAUAUAAUGGGAAUAGUAGAAGGAAGAGUAAUAGAGGAACAAACAGAAGAAAUGUUUGAAACAAUAAUGACUGAGAGUUUCCUCAUAUUUAUGUAAGACAUCUAAUCCAUAGAUUCGGAAAACUUGGCAAACAUGGAGCAGGAAAAAAA